GCGAGCCGUAUACGCUGAAAGGUGUACGUACGGUUCUGAGGGGGGAAUGGUGAAACCUACUUUGAAAACAAAGGAAGGCGCAUGACUCCUACCCUAC
rnacentral:ncRNA from 1 species